AAAGGUUAUAUUACACGAAUAGCAAUAUAUUGCAUUAUUUCAAAAGUAUCGAUGUAAUAUCAACUUACACGUUUAGAUGCGCGAGUCAUCUUAGUGUGUAUCGGCGAUAACUCCGAAGCAACCCCCGGCAAAAAUUCGAAGUCCUUUUCCUCCGCUGCCGUAGUCGCUGCCGCAAUCUCCUUGUCCACCUCCUCCGCCGCAGCUGCCGCCGCCAACACCUUUUCCUUCUCGGCCGCCUCCUCCGCAGCCUCCUCCGCCGCCUUCGCCUCCUCCUUUUCCUUAUCCUCCGCCGGCACUGCAGCCGCCUCCUCCUUUUCCUUAUCCUCCGCCGGCACUGCAGCCGCCUCCACCUUUUCCUCCGCCACAUCCUCCACUUCCGUCGCCACGCAAGUUACACCCGCCGUGUCCGGUUCCGCCGCCUCGGUUGCCGCCGGCUCUUCUUUCGCCGGAACGUCUGUUACCGUCGCCGCCA
rnacentral:lncRNA from 1 species